CCUACGGGUGGCAGCAGUGAGGAAUAUUGGUCAAUGGCCGGAAGGCUGAACCAGCCAUGCCGCGUGAAGGUCAGUGCCCUAUGGGCGUUAAACUUCUUUUGUGCGGGAGCAAUAAUGGUCACGUGUGGCCAGACGAGAGUAUCGUACGAAUAAGCAUCGGCUAACUCCGUGCCAGCAGCCGCGGUAAUACGGGGGAUGCAAGCGUUAUCCGGAUUUAUUGGGUUUAAAGGGUGCGUAGGCUGUGAGGUAAGUCAGCGGUGAAAUGCCCCCGCUCAACGGGGUGAAGUGCCAUUGAUACUGCCUGGCUGGAAUGCGGAUGCCGUGGGAGGAAUGUGUGGUGUAGCGGUGAAAUGCAUAGAUAUCACACAGAACACCGAUUGCGAAGGCAUCUCACGAAUCCGCGAUUGACGCUGAUGCACGAAAGCGUGGGUAUCAAACAGGAUUAGAUACCCUAGUAGUC
rnacentral:rRNA from 1 species